CAGGUGCUUGCAUGCCCAGGAGAAAUAAGCUGGUGAGUUACGUGGUUCAGCACCAUGAAUUGAUUUACAAAGGAAGCUUCAGUGCAGCCGUGUUGCUAUAGGACCUCUCUCACCGAGGCGUCUUGAACGGAAGGGCUGGGAGAGGCCUCAUGGAGGAGGAAGAGUUUCACUCAGCUGCUUGGGUGUGGGACUGAAUGCGGUUCCAGAACUGGUCGCUGCCUUUCCCCGCUGACUCCGGUCUCUGACAAGCCCAUGGAAAAGACUUAUGGCGUAUGACCUCAUUGGAGACUUGUACAUGGGGCCAACCCCUCAUUUUCCCACAGGAAACCCACACUCUAAUUACGGGCUGACCCUGAACUUGAAUCUGAGUCUCCUCUUUCUUUCCACCUGGGAUUUCUUCAACAGAGAGCCAUCUCUCCAGCCCUGUGGCAAGGAGACAGGGGAUGUUACAGGAAAAAUACACAGCCUGUGCCCUUGGAAUUACCGGAGUUCGAAGCCUGUUCUGCAUCUACCCACCACGUGACCUGGGUUAAGUUCUCCAGUCUCUCUAAGCUGAUUUUCUCACCUGUGAGAUGGGUAAGUGUGAUCGGUUCUGAACUCACAUCUACCUCACUGGGUUUGAACAGGCCUAAAUAUGCAUCUGGAGCUUCACUAGCUACCCAUCCUUUCUGCCACGUUCCCCCAUUCACCUUCUAGCCCCAUAAAGUCCUUGGUGGAGGAGGAGGUGGAGACAGAAUCCUUGGUGUUGGGUGAGGUACGUGAAGAGGCUGAUUUCAGAAUCUCCGGCAAACAAAGCUUCAGUGUUUCGAGGGCAGUGCCCGCCUGUGCCUCCUCCUUACAGGGGGUAGUAGGAGUGGGGUGGGGCUGAGGUAUUUCCCAGAACAGCUCAAUCACAUCUCCUGAGCCUGCCCUGCCCUGUGACCUGCUCCCUGGAAAGGAAGGAGAGACCCAGGGGAAAGGGAGGGCAUUGGAGGUGAGGAAAAGAAGAUGGAGAAAAAAACUGGAUCAUUUCAUGACACGGAAAGAAAGGUCUGAACUCUGACAAUCCCCUCAGGUGAUUAUAUGCAUGAGGACUCACUCUUCCAAUUGUUUGAAUAUUGAAUGGAUUGGCUUACACCUUCUGAAAUUUCUUGGUAGCUCUGGAGCAACCAUUCCAAGAAAGAAUAGAGUGUUUUUGGCUGAAAUCUGUGACUGCUUGUUUUUGAGUUAUUUUAAUCUCUGUGUCAAGCAGGAAAACCUCAACAGCCUGGGAUUUAUAAUUAGAUCCCCGUGGCAUGCCCUCGCGGCUCUCAAACAUGCCACAGUGCUUUUGGCUUGCUCCUUGUGCAAACUUCCCUUUGAUAGUUUUGGAUAUCGAUAUCAAGUGUAUGUGUCUAUUUUAACCGGCCCAUAUGCAUAUCCUGUGAUCCCAGGCAUUCGCUCAAUGUGGGACAUCAGGCCAGCUGUGAACUUCGUUUAAAAUUUCCUUUGUGUCGAAUCAUUCCCUAAUGCUGUAUCUCCCUUGAACUGCUAGAUUAAUGAAAAUUCUGCACAACAGAUAACUCUCAGAAAAGAGUGUUGCAAAACCAGAUAUAGGAUGUCAUUUGACUUGUUUAAAACGUUCUGUCUGAGGGGAUUUGACUUGCUAAUUUAAAAAGAAUCUUAAAAUUAUGUACAGUUGAUCCUUAGUAUCCAUGGGGGAUUGGUUCC